AUUGAACGCUGGCGGCAUGCCUUACACAUACAAGUCGAACGGUAACGCGGGGGCAACCCUGGCGACGAGUGGCGAACGGGUGAGUAAUACAUCGGAACGUGUCCUGUUGUGGGGGAUAACCCAUCGAAAGGUGAGCUAAUACCGCAUGAUCUGGAGACAGCAAAGCAGGGGACCGGUAACGGCCUUGCGCGAUUGGAGCGGCCGAUGUCCGAUUAGCUAGUUGGUGGGGUAAAGGCCCACCAAGGCAACGAUCGGUAGCUGGUCUGAGAGGAUGAUCAGCCACACUGGGACUGAGACACGGCCCAGACUCCUACGGGAGGCAGCAGUGGGGAAUUUUGGACAAUGGGGGCAACCCUGAUCCAGCCAUGCCGCGUGCGGGAAGAAGGCCU
rnacentral:rRNA from 1 species